rnacentral:rRNA from 1 species
GGCGUUGGAGAUUUGAGAGGGGCUGCUCCUAGUACGAGAGGACCGGAGUGGACGAACCUCUGGUGUUCCGGUUGUCACGCCAGUGGCAUUGCCGGGUAGCUAUGUUCGGAAGCGAUAACCGCUGAAAGCAUCUAAGCGGGAAGCGCGCCUCAAGAUGAGAUCUCCCGGGGCACAAGCCCCCUGAAGGAACCAUGUAGACUACGUGGUUGAUAGGUCAGGUGUGUAAGUACAGCAAUGUAUUGAGCUAACUGAUACUAAUGAUCCGUGCGGCUUGACCAU